GGUACAUACGCAAAACUAGGUACAAAGAAAACAACCGAGAUCAAGUAUUUAAGUACCAAUAUUCAUUUGUAUAUGAACACAGAUCCCAGAUUAGAUGUCAUCAAGAUGCUACAAUGACACCGUGUUAGUAACAUUUAAAACCCUGUCCUAACCAGAAGGAAGACCUGCAAAACUGAAGCAUCAAAGCUCUUAUCUACGCCUCCUCGGAAGGGCAAAGUGGAGGAGAGCACGUAUACUUCAGCUCCUGGGCCCUGCCUCCUUAACGCCUGUACUGAUGGCGGGAGAGUCUUGGCGCGAUUUCGCAGAAAGCUCCGAACCGGUGCUACAAGUGCUGGAGGGACAGAACUGGAGACUAAGGGACCUCCACAUGCAACUGGUUUUCUUCUCAAGAUUAUUUCUACAACCAAAAACAUCAGCUGUCCACAAAUUUUUAAUUAUCAUUGUUACUGAAAAACUCCUGGUGAAAGUACAUCAAUUGUUUAAGAAGAGCUUGCCAAUGUCAAUCAGUACAGAAAGUUAUCCAUACAUAGCAAUUUUUACAAGUGAAAUUAAAUGAAUCUUCUCUUAUCUGUACAACUAUUAGAACAGUAAAAGAGAAAUACUAUUUAAAAAAAUAAGAACUUUCACAAAUGACCUGCAUUACACUUUAGGUCUAAUGAAUUGCAAUUAAGUCCCUGUUUUAAGGAAAAAUAUUUUGAAAGUCUUAGUUUAUAAAUGAUAGAGAGAUAAAACUGAACUUCUAAAGUUCAGGUUUGUUAUUAUUAUAUUGAUAAUCACUUAAAAGAUUUAAACAAACUAAAAAGAUAAGCAAUAAACUUCUUUUUGAACAAACCAAAUCCAACAAUUUGAAUACACUGAAGCUCUAUUUAUAUGGUCAUGGCUAAAGCAUUGAUCAUUUUCCAUGGCUGGUCCUAGUAACAGGACUGAUGAUUCUAUAGUAGACUCAAACAUCAUUUACUGGACUUUGAGUACAACAAAUAAACAUCAUACAAAUAGUUUCAUGACCAAGAAUCUCUUUCAAUCUGAGAGGAAAAUUAAUUUCCCCAAUCUUUCCCAUCUUAAAAAUACAGAACUGUGAGAGCAGGAUCCUGCAAAAGAGCAGUGGCUAAAUCAUGU